GUUAGGAAUAUUGGACAAUGGGCGCAAGCCUGAUCCAGCCAUGCCGCGUGAGUGAUGAAGGCCUUCGGGUUGUAAAGCUCUUUAGCCGAUGAUUAUAAUGACUGUAGUCGGAAAAUAAGCCCCGGCUAACUUCGUGCCAGCAGCCGCGGUAAUACGAAGGUGGCGAGCGUUAUUCGGAAUCACUGGGCGUAAAGCGUGCGUAGGCGGCUUUGCAAGUUGGGAGUGAAAGCCCAGGGCUCAACCCUGGAAUUGCUCUCAAAACUGCAAGGCUCGAAUUCGGGAGAGGAUAGCGGAAUUGUCAGUGUAGCAGUGAAAUGCGUAGAUAUUGACAGGAACACCAGUGGCGUAAGCGGCUAUCUGGACCGAUAUUGACGCUGAGGCACGAAAGCGUGGGGAUCAAACAGGAUUAGAUACCCGAGUAGUCC
rnacentral:rRNA from 1 species